rnacentral:rRNA from 1 species
AUGGUCAUCGAGGAGGCCGAGGGGCGAUACAUCACCAACUCCAGAAUGUUGCUUGAGCUCAAGAGGCUUGCGGAGGCCAUGUACAAAGGUUACUAUGUAUGUCCUGGACACCAUCAAAUAGAGGGCCCUUUGCAGCUCAAGGGGCGAAAAGGAGGUUAG